GACGAACGCUGGCGGCGUGCCUAAUACAUGCAAGUCGAACGCAGUGGGGACGGGUGAGUAACCCGUGGGUAACCUCCCCAUCAACGUGGAUAACCCUUGGAAACAGGUGCUAAACCGAUAAUGCUGGCUGGACUCGCGUUGCAUUAACUUGUUGGUAAGGUAACGGCUCACAAAGGCCACGAUGCAUAGCCGACCUGAGAGGGUGAUCGGCAAAACGGGGACUGAGACACGGCCCAGACUCCUACGGGAGGCAGCAGUAGGGAAUCUUCGGCAAGGGACGAAAGUCUGACCGAGCAACGCCGCGUGAGUGAAGAAGGUGUUCGGAUCGUAAAACUCUGUUGUUAGAGAAGCGGUAUCUAACCAGAAAGCCACGGCUAACUACGUGCCAGCAGCCGCGGUAAUAC
rnacentral:rRNA from 1 species